UACGUAGGGAGCUAGCGUUACUCGGAUUUACUGGGCGUAAAGCGAGUGUAGGCGGUCAGGUAAGUCAGGGGUGAAAUCCCUCAGCCUAACUGAGGAAUUGCCUUUGAUACUGCUUGACUUGAGGACAGGAGAGGAAAGUGGAAUUCCCGGUGUAGCGGUGGAAUGCGUAGAUAUCGGGAGGAACACCAGAGGCGAAGGCGGCUUUCUGGACUGUUCCUGACGCUGAGACUCGAAAGCUAGGGGAGCAAACAGGAUUAGAUACCCGCGUA
rnacentral:rRNA from 1 species